GUUAUAUUAUCAAUUAUAAAAUAAUGCAUUUAAUGUUGAUGAAAAACAUUUUGUUAUUUUUGUUUAAAUUUCUAAUCAUAAAAUUAAAAUGAAUUAAUACGAAAUUUACCGUUUUUAAAUGGAUUUAUGAAUGUUACGGGGAACAAAGACGCUACAAAAAUAAAAUUUAAUCGUAAUUCGGAGAAUAUCUUAUAAUAAAAAUUUUACUCACGUUAAUAUUAUCAUAAUUAUAUCGGUGUUCGAAUUGGAUUUAAAAAAAAAAAAAAAAACCAAAACCAAAAAAAAAACUGACGCAAAACAAUAGUGAAAAUAAAAUUUAAACGUGCGUACUGACGAUUAUCAACAUAUCUCCUAUGUCCAUAAAUUAUAUCAUUAUGUUCGUACAAUAACGUCCGUUAGAUGAAAAAUUACAGGAGGGAACUGAAAAAAUAAAAUAAAAUAAUAAAUAUUUCUACAAAAGAAGUGACACUCUUACUCGCCCCCGUUAGUUCAAGCACAUAAAUAGGCGCCAUUGAUUAUAAUCAUCGCGCAUCAUAGCAGUAUGAACAUUUUAUUUUAGGGAUUUCAAAAGUUAAAAAAUCGCCGUUAGACAUCUUGACAGUGGUUCGGAUUAUAGUCGAACAUUUUGACCAUUUAUUAGUUAUUCGUGGGGACAUCACACGAAUAGUUUUAGGUAUAGGUUAUAGAAUAACAGACAUGAAUACACGAAAAUUGUUUCCCGGGCCCAAUAAUAAUACACAAGAAAUCCGUUAUAACGACAACUCGAGUGACAAGGUGGCUAUAUUAUAAGUUAGACCAGAGCAGCAUGCACCUCCCCCCUUCCCCGUACAAAUGAUGUCGUUGAUAGUAUUUGAUAAUCGUCUUUGAAAUAUAAAAAAAAAAAAAAAUAUGCACAAUAAUAAGUCUGCAAAUAUUCGAUUAAAUAUCAUGAAAACGAUCGAUUGUUUAAAAUGGUUUUUUUUUUUUUUUUUUUUAAAUUAAUUUUGUUAAAAAAACAACACGAAUAAAAAGUUAUACACUGUGUGAUCGUCGAAAUUGUCUAUUUUAUUAAAACAAUUUUUUUUUUUUUGAUAAAAACAAACGAGCGAGAUUAAAAAAAAUUAAUAUAAAUAUAAUGAGUUAUGUUAAAUCCCGAUAAAUACACUGUCAGAGUUAUUGGUAUACUUACGCUUUGAAAUUGAUUCAAUUUCAGAAUAUACACUCGUGUGUAUAAUAUUAUAUACAUAUUACAUUUUUAUAUAUACC